rnacentral:tRNA from 1 species
GCCACUGUAGCUCAAUUGGUUAGAGCAACCGACUCAUAAUCGGUGGGUCGCGGGUUCGAUUCCCGCCGGUGGCC